AGUGAACGCUGGCGGUAGGCCUAACACAUGCAAGUCGAACGGCAGCACAGUAAGAGCUUGCUCUUACGGGUGGCGAGUGGCGGACGGGUGAGGAAUACAUCGGAAUCUACUUUUUCGUGGGGGAUAACGUAGGGAAACUUACGCUAAUACCGCAUACGACCUACGGGUGAAAGCAGGGGAUCUUCGGACCUUGCGCGAUUGAAUGAGCCGAUGUCGGAUUAGCUAGUUGGCGGGGUAAAGGCCCACCAAGGCGACGAUCCGUAGCUGGUCUGAGAGGAUGAUCAGCCACACUGGAACUGAGACACGGUCCUGACUCCUACGGGAGGCAGCAGUGGGGAAUAUUGGACAAUGGGCGCAAGCCUGAUCCAGCCAUACCGCGUGGGUGAAGAAGGCCUUCGGGUUGUAAAGCCCUUUUGUUGGGAAAGAAAAGCAGCAGGUUAAUACCCCGCUGCUCUGACGGUACCCAAAGAAUAAGCACCGGCUAACUUCGUG
rnacentral:rRNA from 1 species